rnacentral:ncRNA from 1 species
ACGGGUGGUAAAUUUCAUCCAAAGCAAAAUAUAUACUCGAGACCGAUAGCACAAAAGUACCGUGAGGGAAAGUGAAAAGAACUUUGAGAAGAGGGUUAAAUAGUGCUGAAAUCGUUGAGAAGGAAGCGGAUGCCGCCGUUGCAUAUGCUGAUUGUAGGAUUGCUGCUCGCUCCUGUCUUCUGCUACUCAUUCACAGACCUGGUCGUGUUGAGCAGUUGUUUGGCAGAUGUUAGUGGUGUUUCCUACUUUCAGUCGUCAGCAUCACUGGCUGAGUGGAAAUAAUCCUUGGAUGCUAAUUGGUUCGCUAUCUGUGAAUUGGUUGCUUCCUUGCGAUACUCACUACUCGGUCAGUGAGGAAGUGCGUUUGCUGGUCAACGAGCUUUCUAACUGUCAUUACCCUGCGCUUUUCGAUUCGUCGAGUGGCCAGGAUGUGGCUUUGAGAUUGUUCGCACUUAGUAAUCGCGAUGCUGGCUUCCAACGGUUGCCUCCGGCCCGUCUUGAAACACGGACCAAGGAGUCUAACGUAUGUGCGAGUGUGUGAGUGGCAAACUUAUACGCGUAAUGAAAGUGAGGCCGUAUGGCCAUGUUGGGGUCACCAACAACCGACCUUGAUCUUCGGUGAAAGGUUUGAGUAUGAGCAUAUCCGUUAGGACCCGAAAGAUGGUGAACUAUGCCUGAGCAGGGUGAAGCCAGGGGAAACUCUGGUGGAGGCUCGUAGCGAUACUGACGUGCAAAUCGUUCGUCAGACUUGGGUAUAGGGGCGAAAGACUAAUCGAACCAUCUAGUAGCUGGUUCCCUCCGAAGUUUCCCUCAGGAUAGCUAGAGUCUUUAUCAGUUUUGUCAGGUAAAGCGAAUGAUUAGAGGUUCCGGGGAAGUAACUUCCUCGACCUAUUCUCAAACUUUAAAUGGGCAAGAUCCAGUAGUUACUUAAUUGAACUAUUGGGGUCAAUGAGACGACUCUAAGUGGGCCAUUUUUGGUAAGCAGAACUGGCGAUGAGGGAUGAACCUAACGCUCGGUUAAGGUGCUAAACUGCUCGCUCAUCAGAUACCACAAAGGGUGUUGGUCGAUCUAACAGCA